UUUGUCCUUAACCCGAUAGGAUAAACCAGUUUAGGUCAGGCCAAACUAGUUGAUCCUGAUAUAAAUACGCACACUUUAGGAUAAACUGGUAUGGCCUAGUCUAAACAGUCUAAAAAAAUUUCGGGACAGGACGUUAGCCGAAACAUCAAAAAAACAUGCCAAUAUCACAAAAGAAAUGAUAAGCUUGUAUUUAUCUAUGUGUAGUGUCUGUCAUCAAAAUAAAA
rnacentral:misc_RNA from 1 species